AUCAAACCACCUAAUCAACUAAGUGCAUUCGAUUAUAUGCUAUUCUAUUCAUGGUCUACCCUAAAUUCGUCAAGGUUAAACUUAGGUUUCUAAUUCAAUUUAAUUGGUGAUUAGGCAAUUAGAAGUAUAAAGAACAUAAUGGAAUAAAUAACUUAAAACCAUCAAACAUAAGCAAAAGAGAGAUAAAUAGUUCAAAUUACGUAUUGAGUUUAAUUAUAAUCUUAAAUAACUAAAUUAGUUCUCCAUAAUAUCACAAAUCAUUACCAAAUAAAGUUUAAACAUUGAAACCAAACCAAGAAAAAUAAAGAAUAACAAAAAGAAUAAAGAAACUCCGAGAGUUGAAAUCUUGAUCUCCAAAUCUUCUUGAAUCUUUCAAUUUUCUUCUUAACUCUAAUGAGACUUUUCUUCAAUGAUUUUAUAGCUAAAUCUUACUCUAAAUCUUGUGUUUUUCGUUCUUCUAAAAGUCCUUUGAAAG
rnacentral:lncRNA from 1 species